GUGCCAGCCGCCGCGGUAAGACAGAGGGUGCAAACGUUGUUCGGAAUUACUGGGCGUAAAGCGUGUGUAGGCGGCCAUGUAAGUCGGAUGUGAAAGCCCCGGGCUUAACCCGGGAAGUGCAUUCGAUACUGCGUGGCUUGAGUAUCGGAGAGGUUGGUGGAAUUCUCGGUGUAGAGGUGAAAUUCGUAGAUAUCGAGAGGAACACCGGUGGCGAAGGCGGCCAACUGGACGAAUACUGACGCUGAGACACGAAAGCGUGGGGAGCAAACAGGAUUAGAAACCCUCGUAGUCC
rnacentral:rRNA from 1 species